rnacentral:rRNA from 1 species
CCCAGACUCCUACGGGAGGCAGCAGUGGGGGAUAUUGCACAAUGGGGGGAACCCUGAUGCAGCGACGCCGCGUGGGUGAAGGAGCGUUUCGGCGCGUAAAGCCCUCUCGGCAGGGAAGAAAAUGACGGUACCUGACUAAGAAGCCCCGGCUAACUACGUGCCAGCAGCCGCGGUAAUACGUAGGGGGCAAGCGUUAUCCGGAUUUACUGGGUGUAAAGGGAGCGUAGACGGCAUGGCAAGUCAGAUGUGAAAGCCCGGGGCUCAACCCCGGGACUGCAUUUGAAACUGUCAGGCUGGAGUGCAGGAGAGGUAAGUGGAAUUCCUAGUGUAGCGGUGAAAUGCGUAGAUAUUAGGAGGAACACCAGUGGCGAAGGCGGCCUGCUGGACUGCAACUGACGUUGAGGCCCGAAAGCGUGGGGAGCAAACAGGAUUAGAUACCCUCGUAC